GUUUAUAUAAUUUAAAUAAGAUAUUA
rnacentral:tRNA from 1 species